rnacentral:sRNA from 1 species
ACCGGUCUUCGGUCAAGGGUAUACGAGUAGCUGCGCUCCCCUGCUAGAACCUCCAAACAAGCUCUCAAGGGUUUAUGAUUUAUUGAUAUC